rnacentral:rRNA from 1 species
AUUGACCGCUGGCGGCAGGCCUAACACAUGCAAGUCGAACGAGUGGCGGACGGGUGAGUAAAGUCUGGGAAAAUGCCCGAGGGAGGGGGAUACAUACUGGAAACGGUAGCUAUUACAGCAUACCAGAGAAUGUGCCAAGAUGGGCUUAGCGCGUCGGUGGGGUACCGGCGAACCUAGGCGAAGAUCCCUAGGUGGUCUGAGAGGGUGACCAGCCACACUGGAACUGAGCCACUGUCCAGACUCCUACGGGAGGCAGCAGGUGGGAAUAUUGCACAAUGGGCGCAAGCCUGAUGCAGCCAUGCCGCGUGUAUGAAGAAGGCCUUCGGGUUGGAAAGUACUGUCAUCGAGGAGGCGUUACUCGCAGAAGAAGCACCGGCUAACUCCGUGCCAGCAGCCGCGGUAAUUC